CACGUAGGGCGCAAGCGUUGUCCGGAAUUAUUGGGCGUAAAGAGCUCGUAGGCGGUCUGUUGCGUCCGCUGUGAAAACUCGGGGCUUAACCCCGAGCCUGCAGUGGAUACGGGCAGACUAGAGGUAGGUAGGGGAGAAUGGAAUUCCCGGUGUAGCGGUGAAAUGCGCAGAUAUCAGGAGGAACACCAGUGGCGAAGGCGGUGCUCUGGGCCGGAACUGACGCUGGUGAGCGAAAGCGUGGGGAGCAAACAGG
rnacentral:rRNA from 1 species